rnacentral:lncRNA from 1 species
GGGGGGGUUGUGAAAAGUUUGUGAAUCCAGAUAAACAAAAUGAAAACACGAAUGCAAACAACAAUGUAAACACAGAUGCAAACAAAAAUGUAAACAGAAAUGUAAAAACGGAAUGUGAAAACGGUUGGUCAUCAACUCAAUCACCAUGCUUCCAAUCACAGAUUAACAACAGGUACACACUACUCUAAUUCAAAUCCAACACGAAUCAUCCAACUAAGCGAAGGCUAAUUCGGUCUUCAGAAUUGCAAACUAAGNN